AGGUGUAUUUGGGGGGAAGCACUGUGUUUUGUGUGUGCUUGUUUUUAAGUGAGGUGUGUGUGUGUUUUUAAUGAAAGUUGUGCAUUCAAGUAAAAGGCAUGUGUGUGAGUGAUGUGUGUGUGUGUAAGUGAGAGACAUGUGUAUGUAAGUGAGAGGCAUGUAUGUGUGUGUAAGUGGGAGGCAUGUGUAUGUAAGAGAGACUUGUGUGUGUAAGUGAAAGAGACGUGUGUGUGUGUGUGUGUGUUUAAGUGAAUGAGGCGUUUGUGUGUUUUUUAUAUAUAUAUCUAGUGUUCACGCUAGGUGUCUGCACCUUUUUUUAGACAGAUGAAUCCCACCCUGCCCGUUUUUGUGCGCCCUACCAACCCGCCGUUUUCUGCCUGCCGUACCCCGCCACGCCGCCAGACCCAGCCGUGCGCCGCCGGACCCGAGCCUGUGCGGGACAGUGUGAUCUGCGCUGUGCUAUGGAUCUGGCGCAGACUGGCGGCGGAUUCAUACUGUGACUACGGCGUGUAUCAUGAAAGAGACAGCGCGCCAUGGAAGCUCAGAUACGAUGGGCGGCGGGAUGUCCAGCAUUUUGCGGCUGAAGUAACACAAUUCUAGGAAGCAUCAGAACCCAGGAACACAGAUGGGACAUUCCUGCUCCAGGCAGGAGGACACUCACCAGAGGACGAGGACGUACGCUGCA